rnacentral:rRNA from 1 species
AACGUAGGAGGCGAGCGUUAUCCGGAUUUACUGGGCGUAAAGCGCGUGCAGGCGGCUCGAAAAGUUGGAUGUGAAAGCUCCUGGCUUAACUGGGAGAGGUCGUUCAAUACUUUCGAGCUAGAGGAUGGGAGAGGGAGGUGGAAUUCCGGGUGUAGUGGUGAAAUGCGUAGAUAUCCGGAGGAACACCAGUGGCGAAGGCGGCCUCCUGGCCCAUUUCUGACGCUCAGACGCGAAAGCUAGGGUAGCAAACGGGAUUAGAUACCCCCGUAGUCC